rnacentral:rRNA from 1 species
GAUUUCUGGUUUGAUAUGCCUGGCCCGCCACGGUUACGUGUGUGAGUGCCGGUGCGUGUCUGCCAUCCUUUCGGAAAACGUGUCUACCCUUCACUGGGCCGGGCACGCGAUCCGAAUCAUUUACUUUGAAAAAAUUAGAGUGUUUAAAGCAGGCUUUUUGCUAUGAAUACAUUAGCAUGGAAUAAUAAUUUAGGACUUUGGCCCUAUUUUGUUGGUUUCUAGGACUGAAGUAAUGAUUGAUAGGGAUAGUUGGGGGUGCUCGAAUUCAGCGGCCAGAGGUGAAAUUCUUGGAUUCGCUGAAGACGAACUCAUGCGAAAGCAUU